rnacentral:tRNA from 1 species
GUUGGCAGAUUAGUGCUUUAAAUUUAGAAUUUAAUUAGGUAAGUGUAUUACAUUUA